UACGAAGGGUGCAAGCGUUACUCGGAAUUACUGGGCGUAAAGCGCGCGUAGGCGGACCUGCAAGUCGGGGGUGAAAGCCCGAGGCUCAACCUCGGAACUGCCUUCGAUACUGCGGGUCUCGAGUCCGGGAGAGGUGAGUGGAAUUCCUAGUGUAGAGGUGAAAUUCGUAGAUAUUAGGAAGAACACCAGUGGCGAAGGCGGCUCACUGGCCCGGUACUGACGCUGAGGCGCGAAAGCGUGGGGAGCAAACAGG
rnacentral:rRNA from 1 species